rnacentral:rRNA from 1 species
UACGAAGGGGGCUAGCGUUGCUCGGAAUCACUGGGCGUAAAGCGCACGUAGGCGGACUCUUAAGUCAGGGGUGAAAUCCUGGAGCUCAACUCCAGAACUGCCUUUGAUACUGAGAGCCUUGAGUUCGGGAGGGGUGAGUGGAACUGCGAGUGUAGAGGUGAAAUUCGUAGAUAUUCGCAAGAACACCAGUGGCGAAGGCGGCUCACUGGCCCGAUACUGACGCUGAGGUGCGAAAGCGUGGGGAGCAAACAGG